GUGACCUCCAAUCAGGUAGGACUACCGCUGACUUAGCAUAUCAAUAAGCGGAGGAAAGAACUACAGGAUCCCUAG
rnacentral:rRNA from 1 species